GAUGAACGCUGGCGGCGUGCCUAACACAUGCAAGUCGAGCGAACAGACGAGGAGCUUGCUCCUCUGACGUUAGCGGCGGACGGGUGAGUAACACGUGGAUAACCUACCUAUAAGACUGGGAUAACUUCGGGAAACCGGAGCUAAUACCGGAUAAUAUAUUGAACCGCAUGGUUCAAUAGUGAAAGACGGUUUUGCUGUCACUUAUAGAUGGAUCCGCGCCGCAUUAGCUAGUUGGUAAGGUAACGGCUUACCAAGGCAACGAUGCGUAGCCGACCUGAGAGGGUGAUCGGCCACACUGGAACUGAGACACGGUCCAGACUCCUACGGGAGGCAGCAGUAGGGAAUCUUCCGCAAUGGGCGAAAGCCUGACGGAGCAACGCCGCGUGAGUGAUGAAGGUCUUCGGAUCGUAAAACUCUGUUAUUAGGGAAGAACGAAUGUGUAAGUAACUAUGCACGUCUUGACGGUACCUAAUCAGAAAGCCACGGCUAACUACGUG
rnacentral:rRNA from 1 species